UUUACAUUUGAGUGAGUGGCGAACUGGUGAGUAACACGUGGGAAACCUGCCCAGAAGCGGGGGAUAACACCUGGAAACAGAUGCUAAUACCGCAUAACAACUUGGACCGCAUGGUCCGAGUUUGAAAGAUGGCUUCGGCUAUCACUUUUGGAUGGUCCCGCGGCGUAUUAGCUAGAUGGUGGGGUAACGGCUCACCAUGGCAAUGAUACGUAGCCGACCUGAGAGGGUAAUCGGCCACAUUGGGACUGAGACACGGCCCAAACUCCUACGGGAGGCAGCAGUAGGGAAUCUUCCACAAUGGACGAAAGUCUGAUGGAGCAACGCCGCGUGAGUGAAGAAGGGUUUCGGCUCGUAAAACUCUGUUGUUAAAGAAGAACAUAUCUGAGAGUAACUGUUCAGGUAUUGACGGUAUUUAACCAGAAAGCCACGGCUAACUACGUGCCAGCAGCCGCGGUAAUACGUAGGUGGCAAGCGUUGUCCGGAUUUAUUGGGCGUAAAGCGAGCGCAGGCGGUUUUUUAAGUCUGAUGUGAAAGCCUUCGGCUCAACCGAAGAAGUGCAUCGGAAACUGGGAAACUUGAGUGCAGAAGAGGACAGUGGAACUCCAUGUGUAGCGGUGAAAUGCGUAGAUAUAUGGAAGAACACCAGUGGCGAAGGCGGCUGUCUGGUCUGUAACUGACGCUGAGGCUCGAAAGUAUGGGUAGCAAACAGGAUUAGAUACCCUGGUAGUCCAUACCGUAAACGAUGAAUGCU
rnacentral:rRNA from 2 species